GAAACUAGAAGGACUAAAAGGGUUAAGUGUGAAAGUAAUUAUUAUUAAAACAAAAAUCAAAAACCCCAAACACACAUUCUGGUCGUGAUUUACACAGGAGCAAAAAGGGAUUCUUGAUCAAAACCCUAAAUCACAAGAAAUUCAGCCAAAUCAAGGGAAAUGAAGCUAGGAAAUUGGGGCUUUAACUAAAAUCAUGAUCACCCAGCUUAGGGGAUCACAAGUUGACUCUAAACAAGCUAGGUGGGAGCUUGGAAAGGAACGGGUCAAACGGAUCAUGGAUGCGAAGAAUGUUUGCGCGGACGCGAGUCAUAUGUUUACAGGAACGAAUAGAAUUUUGGAUAAUUGCGUCAUCAUAGAAUAUUGAAUUAAUAAUAGCAAGGCAUAAACGGGUCUAUACGUUGACUCGAGCCAGGUACAUUUUGGAUGCCGGAAGACGAUCAAGCUCAACGAAGAACCGAACACGAUAAAGAUACAUGCUUCCGCACAUUGCCUCGUCGUAAAUUUUAAACGACGAAUUCGAUUACGCUAUGUUGAAUAACUUAUGAUUUGUAAAGUUUUAACGAACC